AUUGAACGCUGGCGGCAGGCCUAACACAUGCAAGUCGAGCGGUAACACAGGGAGCUUGCUCCCGGGUGACGAGCGGCGGACGGGUGAGUAAUGUCUGGGAAACUGCCUGAUGGAGGGGGAUAACUACUGGAAACGGUAGCUAAUACCGCAUAAUGUCGCAAGACCAAAGAGGGGGACCUUCGGGCCUCUUGCCAUCAGAUGUGCCCAGAUGGGAGUAGCUAGUAGGUGGGGUAACGGCUCACCUAGGCGACGAUCCCUAGCUGGUCUGAGAGGAUGACCAGCCACACUGGAGCUGAGACACGGUCCAGACUCCUACGGGAGGCAGCAGUGGGGAAUAUUGCACAAUGGGCGCAAGCCUGAUGCAGCCAUGCCGCGUAUAUGAAGAAGGCCUUCGGGUUGUAAAGUACUUUCAGCGGGGAGGAAGGUGUUGAGGUUAAUAACCUCAGCAAUUGACGUUACCCGCAGAAGAAGCACCGGCUAACUCCGUGCCAGCCGCCGCGGUAAGAC
rnacentral:rRNA from 1 species